CUCGGAAUCAUUGGGCGUAAAGCGCACGUAGGCGGUUCGUUAAGUCGGAUGUGAAAGCCCUUGGCUUAACCGAGGAAGUGCAUCCGAAACUGGCGAGCUAGAGUACGAAAGAGGAUCGCGGAAUUCCCGGUGUAGAGGUGAAAUUCGUAGAUAUCGGGAGGAACACCGGUGGCGAAGGCGGCGAUCUGGGUCGAUACUGACGCUGAGGUGCGAAAGCGUGGGGAGCAAACAGG
rnacentral:rRNA from 1 species